AUGCAGCUUCCUUCAGCAGUGAAAAUUGCAAAAUGCCAGAAAGUUACAAGAUUUGACUUCUAUGAUGCAGCUUCCUUCAUUAAGCAAUUUUCUCCAUCCCUGUGCUCAUUUAGCCAUUCAAACUCUCUCCUUGUUCCAGAAAGAUUUUGGCAUUUGAUUUUCAGCAAUUUCUGCCACAUCCUAAUAAUAUAUUAG